CCUACGGGAGGCAGCAGUGAGGAAUAUUGGUCAAUGGGCGAGAGCCUGAACCAGCCAAGUCGCGUGAAGGAUGACGGCCCUACGGGUUGUAAACUUCUUUUGUCAGGGAGCAAUUGGGUCCACGCGUGGGCUUAGCGAGAGUACCUGAAGAAAAAGCAUCGGCUAACUCCGUGCCAGCAGCCGCGGUAAUACGUAGGUGGCGAGCGUUGUCCGGAAUUACUGGGUGUAAAGGGAGUGUAGGCGGGAAAGCAAGUCAGAAGUGAAAACUAUGGGCUUAACCCAUAGCCUGCUUUUGAAACUGUUUUUCUUGAGUGAAGUAGAGGCAAGCGGAAUUCCUAGUGUAGGGGUGAAAUGCGUAGAUAGUAGGAGGAACACCAGUGGCGAAGGCGGCUUGCUGGGCUUUUACUGACGCUGAGGCUCGAAAGCGUGGGGAGCAAACAGGAUUAGAUACCCCUGUAGUC
rnacentral:rRNA from 1 species